rnacentral:lncRNA from 1 species
AGGUUGCUCUGCCUGCCAAGUUGAGGAUAAUAUCAAUUAACAGUUGUGAUGCACUGAAAUGGUUACCAGAGGCAUGGAUGUGCGACUUCAAUUCAUCUCUCGAGAUCUUAAGUAUUGAGUGUUGCCGUUCGUUGACAUAUAUUGCUGGAGUCCAGCUACCACCAAGCCUUAAGAGGUUGUACAUCGAGUUUUGCGAUAAUAUAAGGACUUUGACAGUGGAAGAGGGCGUACAGAGAAGCAGCAGCAGCAGAAGGUGCACCUCAUCUCUUCUUGAGGAGUUGGACAUUAACAGUUGUCCAUCUCUGACAUGUAUAUUUUCGAAAAACGAGUUACCUGCCACGCUUGAGUCCCUUGAAGUUGGCAAUCUACCUGAGUCUCUUAAGUCCCUUCGUGUUUGGGAUUGUCCAAAGCUGGAGUCUAUAGCAGAAAGGUUGGACAACAACACGUCUCUUGAAAUAAUCAGGAUUGCUUAUUGUGAAAAUCUGAAAAUUUUACCUAGUGGUUUACAUAAUCUCCGCCAGCUUCAAGAGAUUGAGAUACGGAGAUGCGGAAAUCUGGUGUCCUUUCCCAAAGGGGGAUUGCCUGGUGCGAA